GACGCGGUAGCACAGUGGUUAAGUGUGCUUGACUUGGAACUGAAAGGUCCUGAGUUCGAGUCCUGGCCGUGACC